rnacentral:lncRNA from 1 species
GCUCGGCUCCCUCAGCCAUCAUGGGGAAUGCCGCCCUUGUCGCUGGUCUCUGAACCAGUAGUGCCGCAGCCACCUCCUCCCGAGGUGCGGUCGCCGGUGCCGCACGUGAAGAACUGGGCGCAGGGGACUGCGCCCUCGGUGCGACGUCCACCACGGGUGCUGGCGGUGUGGGACCCUGGGUCUCCCUCGAAGCUGCUGCCUGCUGAAGUAGGAGGUCCUCAAGAUGCUUCAUCCGCGCCUCCUGCCGCUGAGCCACCUCAGCCUGUCGCUGCGCCGCUGCCGUCUGCUGUGCCAACAGAUCAGUGAGAACCGCAAGCUGGGCCCUCAAGUCAUGGACCUCACUAGAUCCGGAAGUAGCGGAGGUCUCGACCUCCUCGGGGUGUGCCGCAUCAUCCG